rnacentral:rRNA from 1 species
GUAUCCUGUCUGAAUAUGGGGGGACCAUCCUCCAAGGCUAAAUACUCCUGACUGACCGAUAGUGAACCAGUACCGUGAGGGAAAGGCGAAAAGAACCCCGGCGAGGGGAGUGAAAAAGAACCUGAAACCGUGUACGUACAAGCAGUGGGAGCCUCUUAAUGGGGUGACUGCGUACCUUUUGUAUAAUGGGUCAGCGACUUAUAUUCUGUAGCAAGGUUAACCGAAUAGGGGAGCCGAAGGGAAACCGAGUCUUAACUGGGCGUUAAGUUGCAGGGUAUAGACCCGAAACCCGGUGAUCUAGCCAUGGGCAGGUUGAAGGUUGGGUAACACUAACUGGAGGACCGAACCGACUAAUGUUGAAAAAUUAGCGGAUGACUUGUGGCUGGGGGUGAAAGGCCAAUCAAACCGGGAGAUAGCUGGUUCUCCCCGAAAGCUAUUUAGGUAGCGCCUCGUGAAUUCAUCUCCGGGGGUAGAGCACUGUUUCGGCAAGGGGGUCAUCCCGACUUACCAACCCGAUGCAAACUGCGAAUACCGGAGAAUGUUAUCACGGGAGACACACGGCGGGUGCUAACGUCCGUCGUGAAGAGGGAAACAACCCAGACCGCCAGCUAAGGUCCCAAAGUCAUGGUUAAGUGGGAAACGAUGUGGGAAGGCCCAGACAGCCAGGAUGUUGGCUUAGAAGCAGCCAUCAUUUAAAGAAAGCGUAAUAGCUCACUGGUCGAGUCGGCCUGCGCGGAAGAUGUAACGGGGCUAAACCAUGCACCGAAGCUGCGGCAGCGACACUAUGUGUUGUUGGGUAGGGGAGCG